AUGUGGAGACACCGUUUUCAAGAUGACUUACAAUGGAAAUCACCCAUCUCAUCAUUUCCACAACACACCUCAAGAACGGAUAGUAGUUUAUUAAGACAAGAUCUUCUACAGGCUUUUCAGAAUCCCACCAUUUUUCUCAAGAUUUCUUAUGAUGGGGACUAUGUUCUGCCCAUUGUUGUAGGAAAGGUUGCUAUUGAAAAGCUUAUAGAUGCAGAAGUUGAAGAAGAAAGUGAGGAUUUUCCGGACUAG